UGGGGAAUUUUGGACAAUGGGCGAAAGCCUGAUCCAGCCAUGCCGCGUGAGUGAAGAAGGCCUUCGGGUUGUAAAGCUCUUUUAGUCGGAAAGAAAGAGUUGCAAUGAAUAAUUGUGAUUUAUGACGGUAUCGACAGAAAAAGCACCGGCUAACUACGUGCCAGCAGCCGCGGUAAUACCUAGGGUGCGAGCGUUAAUCGGAAUUACUGGGCGUAAAGGGUGCGCAGGCGGUCUUGCAAGUCAGAUGUGAAAGCCCCGGGCUUAACCUGGGAAUUGCGUUUGAAACUGCAAGACUAGAGUGCAGCAGAGGGGAGUGGAAUUCCAUGUGUAGCAGUGAAAUGCGUAGAGAUGUGGAAGAACACCGAUGGCGAAGGCAGCUCCCUGGGUUGACACUGACGCUCAUGCACGAAAGCGUGGGGAGCAAACA
rnacentral:rRNA from 1 species